CUUCUCUCAGGGUCGCACCUGGAGAGUUUCCAGUACUCCACCAGUCUUGACAAUGGGAGGGAGAGUCAAGCAGAGGCACACCCAUUCCAUUCAUUGCUUGGGCAGAGGCUAGUGAGUGGAAGGCCAUCUGCUACAAGU
rfam:Ornithorhynchus anatinus chromosome 2, whole genome shotgun sequence.